UACAGAGGUCCCAAGCGUUUGUUCGGAUUCACUGGGCGUAAAGGGUGCGUAGGUGGUGAGGCAAGUUCGGUGUGAAAUCUCCGGGCUUAACCCGGAAAUGGCAUUGAAAACUGCCUUGCUAGAGGGUUGGAAGGGAGACUGGAAUUCUUGGUGUAGCAGUGAAAUGCGUAGAUAUCAAGAGGAACACCAGUGGCGGAAGGCGAGUCUCUGGGGCCGA
rnacentral:rRNA from 1 species